rnacentral:rRNA from 1 species
AUUGAACGCUGGCGGCAGGCCUAACACAUGCAAGUCGAACGAGUGGCGGACGGGUGAGUAAUGUCUGGGAAACUGCCUGAUGUAGGGGGAUAACUACUGGAAACGGUAGCUACUACCGCAUACCAUCAGAUGUGCCCAGAUGGGAUUAGCUAGUAGGUGGGGUAACGGCUCACCUGGGCGACGAUCCCUAGCUGGGCUGAGAGGAUGACCAGCCACACGUGAACGGAGAAACGGUCCAGACGCCUACGGAAGGCAGCAGUGGGGAAUAUUGCACAAGGGGCGCAAGCCUGAUGCAGCCAGGCCGCGUGUAUGAAGAAGGCCGUCGGGUUGUAAAGUACUUUCAGCGGGGAGGCGUUACCCGCAGAAGAAGCACCGGCUAACUCCGUGCCAGCAGCCGCGGUAAUAC